rnacentral:rRNA from 1 species
UUGACAUACUAAGAACUUUCCAGAGAUGGAUUGGUGCCUUCGGGAACUUUAGAUACAGGUGCUGCAUGGCUGUCGUCAGCUCGUGUCGUGAGAUGUUGGGUUAAGUCCCGCAACGAGCGCAACCCUUUUCCUUAUUUGCCAGCGGGUUAAGCCGGGAACUUUAAGGAUACUGCCAGUGACAAACUGGAGGAAGGCGGGGACGACGUCAAGUCAUCAUGGCCCUUACGGCCAGGGCUACACACGUGCUACAAUGGUCGGUACAAAGGGUUGCUACCUCGCGAGAGGAUGCUAAUCUCAAAAAGCCGAUCGUAGUCCGGAUCGCAGUCUGCAACUCGACUGCGUGAAGUCGGAAUCGCUAGUAAUCGCGGAUCAGAAUGCCGCGGUGAAUACGUUCCCGGGCCUUGUACACACCGCCCGUCACACCAUGGGAGUUUGUUGCACCAGAAGUAGGUAGUCUAACCGCAAGGAGGACGCUUACCACGGUGUGGCCGAUGACUGGGGUGAAGUCGUAACAAGGUAAGCGUAGAUGA